UGCCGUUCGGUGAAACACAGCUUCCCGUUCAUUUUCAAUGGAAGCAAAGCGGUGAGAAGCGGAGAAGACGGGAUCGUUGGGCAACACGAACGUGGCAUGGGAGUCAGUGAAAAAGUUCAAUAUUUCCCAACUUUAUGCAAAUCACCAGUCGCGACCGCUAGGCGAUGACCUAUCAUAUCGAGUGGUUCCCAUGACGAAUUUGACACUAUGCGACCCAAGGCUGGAGACUUUCUUUAGCAGAGAUGGCUGACAAAAAUACCAGGUUGGAAGCAAAUGGACUCCUGAAACAACCAGCUACCCAGGCUGUCGUCUUGUGAAACAGUGGAUGUAAAGAAUCUAGCUAGCUAAAGCGUUUCCUGCCAAUUUAAUGGACAAUUUUGUAAGCUCGCCUUGCUGAUAUUUGCCAUGCAGCUGAAGUAACGCGGCUAGCUAACUACUUUCUUGCUUAUUGUGCAGCGGAGGAUAACAAUACCUGUAUGCCUAUGGAUGUGUAGCUAGCUAUCUACCUGAUCUGUGCAUGGACCCAAACGUUUGGUAUACAUAUUAGUUCAGAACCUAGCUAUGAACCUGGGCUAUCCUAGCAAGUUGUGUCAACUUCAAAACAGUCUGAAUGACAUUAAUGAAGCCUAUGGAUUGAGUAGAAUAUAAUAUAACUUUGUGCCAUGCAUACAAGUCAUAUAUACAUGCAGUUAUUACCAUGCAUGAGAUCCCCACAUUGUAGCCUGUACAUUUAAUAUAUUCACUGAUCAUGUACUCUACCUUGGCAAAUAAAGGUGUGGUUCGGGUAUGAAUGUCUGUGAGAUUCUUUUUCAGUCAUAUCCAAUACCAGGAGUAUCAAAUUCCAGUCUUUGUAUGAUGCUGUGUCUGCAUGUAUGUAUUACAAUUAUACCCUUCAACAGUUUUUACCAAUCCUGGUCCUGGGACACAUUGUAACUAUGCAAUAGACUAGAAACAUGAUUUAACUAAUUAAAGGCUGAUUUGUAAUUUGUAUAUACAUAAAUAUAAUUUUAAAAACAGUACACUGUAGCAGUACACUGCAUACAGGUAUUGUUACUUCCUAUGCAUCAUGUAAAUACUCUAAAACUGGUUGAUCUCGAUAUCUAAUUUCCUUCACCUGCAUUGAUCUGAUAAUGUCACGACAUCCACCAAAGUUGUUCCCUCUCCUUGUUCGGGCGGCGUUCGGUUCCCAUCUCAUAAUUAUGUUCCUUAUUUAACCCUCUGGUUUCCCUUUCUGUUUGUGCGUGAUUGUCUUUCGUGUGUUGGAUUUCGAUCCUGUUUUGUCCUUGUUUGAUAACGGGAUUUUUGUUACGUUCUUGGAUUCAGUAAAUACAGUGUUUAUUUACUCUUA